CAGAAGGUCUUGCACCUGAAAACCACUGUGAACUCUUUUAUCUUUGGCUGCCUCGGCGGGCAAUCCCAGGGCGGGAUUCCGGGCCUCCUUCGGGGGGGCGUCCGCCGGCGGCGCAACUCCAGCUCUUGUCUGUGGUGGGCUUCUGAGUGGCUUGGAAAAAAAUCA
rnacentral:misc_RNA from 1 species